rnacentral:rRNA from 1 species
UACGUAGGGAGCGAGCGUUGUCCGGAUUUACUGGGUGUAAAGGGUGCGUAGGCGGCUUCUUAAGUCAGGUGUGAAAACCAUCGGCUCAACUGAUGGACUGCAUUUGAAACUGAGGGGCUUGAGUGAAGCAGAGGCAGGCGGAAUUCCCGGUGUAGCGGUGAAAUGCGUAGAGAUCGGGAGGAACACCAGUGGCGAAGGCGGCCUGCUGGGCUUUAACUGACGCUGAGGCACGAAAGCAUGGGUAGCAAACAGG